rnacentral:rRNA from 1 species
AACCUUUAGCCAGAACAAAUAUUAAAGGCAACGCCUGCCCAGUGAACAAUUAAACGGCCGCGGUACCCUAACCGUGCAAAGGUAGCGUAAUCACUUGUCUAUUAAUUGUAGACCCGUAUGAAAGGCAAAAUGAGAGUCUGCCUGUCUCUUAUAAUAAAUCAAUUAAACUGAUCUCCUAGUAAAAAAGCUAGAAUAUCAACAUAAGACCAGAAGACCCUGUGAAGCUUAAACUAAACUAUUAAACCCUCUAAUACCUACUUUCGGUUGGGGCGACCUUGGAAAAAAAAAGAACUUCCAAACACAUUGACCAUAACUCAUAUGCCAGGCCAACAAGCCUAACACGACCCAGUACAACUGACAACUGAAACAAGUUACUCCAGGGAUAACAGCGCUAUCUUCUUCAAGAGUCCAUAUCAAAAAGAAGGUUUACGACCUCGAUGUUGGAUCAGGACAUCCUAAUGGUGCAGCCGCUAUUAAGGGUUCGUUUGUUCAACGAUUAACAGUCCU